rnacentral:rRNA from 1 species
AGUGAACGCUGGCGGUAGGCCUAACACAUGCAAGUCGAACGGCAGCACAGUAAGAGCUUGCUCUUACGGGUGGCGAGUGGCGGACGGGUGAGGAAUACAUCGGAAUCUACUUUUUCGUGGGGGAUAACGUAGGGAAACUUACGCUAAUACCGCAUACGACCUACGGGUGAAAGCAGGGGAUCUUCGGACCUUGCGCGAUUGAAUGAGCCGAUGUCGGAUUAGCUAGUUGGCGGGGUAAAGGCCCACCAAGGCGACGAUCCGUAGCUGGUCUGAGAGGAUGAUCAGCCACACUGGAACUGAGACACGGUCCAGACUCCUACGGGAGGCAGCAGUGGGGAAUAUUGGACAAUGGGCGAAAGCCUGAUCCAGCCAUACCGCGUGGGUGAAGAAGGCCUUCGGGUUGUAAAGCCCUUUUGUUGGGAAAAAAAAGCAGCAGGUUAAUACCCCGCUGUUCUGACGGUACCCAAAGAAUAAGCCCCGGCAAACUUCG